AUUGAACGCUGGCGGCAGGCCUAACACAUGCAAGUCGAGCGGAGCGGCUGACGGGUGAGUAAUUCCUAGGAAUCUGCCUGGUAGUGGGGGAUAACGUCCGGAAACGGGCGCUAAUACAGCAUACUCUCAGCUGAGCCUAGGUCGGUUUAGCUAGUUGGUGGGGUAAAGGCCUACAAGGGCGCCGAUCCGUAACUGGUCUGAAAGGAUGAUUGGUCAACCUGGAACUGAGACACGGUCCAGACGCCUACGGUAGGCAGCAGUGGGGAAUAGUGCACAAGGGGAGAAAGCCUGAUGCAGCAAGGCCGCGGGUAUGAAGAAGGCCUGCGGGUUGUAAAGUACUUUGAGCGGGGAGGCGUUACCCGCAGAAGAAGCACCGGCUAACUCCGUGCCAGCAGCCGCGGUAAUAC
rnacentral:rRNA from 1 species